AAGAGCACGUUUCUGUGUCUUAUUCGUAGGGUUAUAACCUUUGUUUUUUAUUAUGUAACGGCCAUGAUUAUUGCUUCUUCCUUCCUACAUCUCUCUCUCUCUCUCUGGGUUUGGAAUCGAUGGGAUCACCGGGUUUCUUUGUGAUAUGUCUUCUAUGGAUCUCACCUGUGGAGCUUUGAUGGUGUUUUACAAUAACGAGAUCUCUGUGUUUCGACACGGGACUGAGACAGCGAGUAAGCUUUUGGGUUCAACGCCUCAUGAUCAGCUCCUGAUUAAGACAUCUGAUUCGUUUGCUGGCUUGUUGUUGUUUGCGAUCAGGUUUCUUCUGUUCAUGGUAGCGUUUGUUAAGGAGAGGGAGUUCCAGAGCUUCUUCGCUAAGGGGUGCGUGCUUCUUCAUGUUUCCAUGGCUCGAAGAUCUCGCUCACGAUUGGCCGAGGCAGGCCGUUGGGGAUAUUGUAUUGGCACUUUCCUGAGUUUUCUUCCUUGUUUACUCGUGGGGGGAGAAGUAUGGUUAACUUGAUGCGGGGAAUCAUGGUUUCCUUCUGCUAUCGGCACUUCUGCUGAAAUGCAUUGCUGAACGAAGAUAAAUCGAUUGCUACCUCUGGUGCUUAAUCGUGCUGUAGGAGAUGGUGAAAUUGGAGUUGGAGUCGAAAUGGUGUAGAAUUACUGGUUUCCUGAAGUGUGGCUCUCGGAUUUGCACUGUAAGAUAUAUCUGGUUGGGAGUUGAAUCGUAUGUUCUUAAACAAAUUAGACACUGAGCAGAGUUCGAGUUUGGGUUAGUAUGUUUGCCUGAAUUCUGUUCAGAGUUUCGAUGUGCUUAUUUCCUUUCCCCACUUCGAACAUAUGUGAGAGGCUGUCUAUCAUUCUUCCUUGUAAAUUUCCUUAGAAUUAAUAAUAAUGAAAUUAUCUUACCUCUUCCUCUUAGCUUUAGGUGAUAUGGUGCUGACUUGUGUUGUCUCUGGUUCAUGUUUAUCGGGUUUUGGUGAUCAGUCGAAUAAUUUCAAAUGUUAAAUGUAUCCAAAAGUAAAGAAAAGCGAUCAGUGAGCUAAGAAGAGGGGAAGAGUACUUUGGAGAUGCACUAGUGCGGCUGUGGACUAUUUGGGAAGAAAGGAAUGCAAAGAUCUUUUGUGAGAAGGAAAGAAGUGUAGAAAUAGCGAAAGGGUGUAUAGUGGUAAGGUAAUACAUGGGUGAAAACCUUGGACUUAUUUUUUCAAUUUUCCUUUGAUGACAUAUGGAGGAAUUUGGGCCAGGUGGCUGCUAGUUCAACCAGAAGGAAUAUAACUGCUGUUUCUUGGACUCCUGAGAAUGAAUACUUAAAGCUUAAUUUUGAUCGAGGUAGCCUUGGAAAUACAGGCCCAUCCGUGAUAGGGGGGUUUUUAGGAACAAAGAUGGACAAGUGGUAGCUCUGUUUUCUGGACCAGCAGGUGUAGGUGACUCAAAAAGAGAUGAGAUGUUAGCGGUUGUCCAAGUUUUGCAGAUAGCAAGACCGUUAAAUUUGAACAGGAUUGUUCUGGAAGGGGACUCCAAGAUAGUAGCGGGCUGGUUACAAAACCCAGAGACGAUUAUUUGGAAAUUCAGGGAUUAGCUGAAGAAGAUUAAGUCGCUCACUGCUAACCUAUCAGUGAUGUUUCACUGGCAGAGGAUAUUGGCCGACUUUCUAGCCAAGCAAGGGGUUAAUAGGGAUCAGCUUUUCUGGGCUCAGUUGUAAUUUUUUCCUCUUUCUUCUUUGCUGCUGGUUGAGGUGAAUCUCUCACCUCUCCCCCAAAGAGGGACAUGAUAGGAAAAGAACACAGUUAUUUUGGAGGUUGAGGCACACACAACACAACCUGUGCAUGCACAAAAACAUGCCAUUGGGUGUAUGCGCAUGUAGGAGGGAGAUAUGUAGCUGGAAUUUGAGAAGUAGAGAGCUUGCUUUUUGCAUGUAUCAGCCAAUGUUUGAAAAUGCAAAGGUGUGAAAUGAGGUGUUCCACUUUCCUAAGAGAUGAAAUGUAAACCAGAAUGCAAGAAGAACAAUUCUCCUGAAUAUGGAAUUUUUUCCUUGCAAGUUUGCUUGAGGUUUCUUUCUUAUGCGUCUAACCCUGAGGGCCUUAUAAAGUUCAGCUAUGCUGCAAUUUGGUACUAUUUAGCAUUUUGGAUGUACUAACUUUCCAGUUUCUUACUCCUAGGCAACAAGUUACUUUGAGGAAACUAUGCUUGAAAGUGUUUGGAGACGAAUAUAUUAAUUUCUAGGGCAUAAAUACAGUUUCCCUUGUUGCUUUUUUUGGUACAAAUUGCUGGUAACUUUCUAGUAGUUACAUAUUUGUGCUGCACAACAAUACCGGUAGACCAAUAAAA